UACGUAGGUGGCAAGCGUUGUUCGGAAUUAUUGGGCGUAAAGGGCGCGUAGGCGGUUUGUUAAGUCAGCUGUGAAAGCCCGGGGCUCAACCCCGGAGGGUCAGCUGAUACUGGCAGGCUAGAGUACAGAAGAGGUAACUGGAAUUCCCGGUGUAGCGGUGAAAUGCGUAGAGAUGUGGAGGAACACCAGUGGCGAAGGCGACUUUCUGGCUUAUAACUGACGCUGAGGCGCGAAAGCGUGGGGAGCAAACAGG
rnacentral:rRNA from 1 species